rnacentral:tRNA from 2 species
GCACCCUUAGAACAACUGGACAGUUCCGCUGUCUUCUAAACAGCUAGUUACAGGUUCGAGUCCUGUAGGGUGUG